AGACCCGAAACCCGGUGAUCUAGCCAUGGGCAGGUUGAAGGUUGGGUAACACUAACUGGAGGACCGAACCGACUAAUGUUGAAAAAUUAGCGGAUGACCUGUGGCUGGGGGUGAAAGGCCAAUCAAACCGGGAGAUAGCUGGUUCUCCCCGAAAGCUAUUUAGGUAGCGCCUCGUGAAUUCAUCUCCGGGGGUAGAGCACUGUUUCGGCUAGGGGGCCAUCCCGGCUUACCAACCCGAUGCAAACUGCGAAUACCGGAGAAUGUUAUCACGGGAGACACACGGCGGGUGCUAACGUCCGUCGUGAAGAGGGAAACAACCCAGACCGCCAGCUAAGGUCCCAAAGUCAUGGUUAAGUGGGAAACGAUGUGGGAAGGCCCAGACAGCCAGGAUGUUGGCUUAGAAGCAGCCAUCAUUUAAAGAAAGCGUAAUAGCUCACUGGUCGAGUCGGCCUGCGCGGAAGAUGUAACGGGGCUAAACCAUGCACCGAAGCUGCGGCAGCGAACGUAUCACUUAAAGCGAUUCAGCGGGUUACGAUUGACGGAGCGAAGCGACGUCAAAGCGUAUACAAAGUCGAGUCGGUUUAAGGAUACGUUCGUUGGGUAGGGGAGCGUUCUGUAAGCCUGUGAAGGUGGCCUGUGAGGGUUGCUGGAGGUAUCAGAAGUGCGAAUGCUGACAUAAGUAACGAUAAAGCGGGUGAAAAGCCCGCUCGCCGGAAGACCAAGGGUUCCUGUCCAACGUUAAUCGGGGCAGGGUGAGUCGACCCCUAAGGCGAGGCCGAAAGGCGUAGUCGAUGGGAAACGGGUUAAUAUUCCCGUACUUGGUGUUACUGCGAAGGGGGGACGGAGAAGGCUAUGUUGGCCGGGCGACGGUUGUCCCGGUUUAAGCGUGUAGGUGUGUGUUCCAGGUAAAUCCGGUUCACUUUAACACUGAGGCGUGAUGACGAGGCACUACGGUGCUGAAGCAACAAAUGCCCUGCUUCCAGGAAAAGCCUCUAAGCAUCAGGUAACACGAAAUCGUACCCCAAACCGACACAGGUGGUCAGGUAGAGAAUACCAAGGCGCUUGAGAGAACUCGGGUGAAGGAACUAGGCAAAAUGGUGCCGUAACUUCGGGAGAAGGCACGCUGACACGUAGGUGAAGUGAUUUACUCAUGGAGCUGAAGUCAGUCGAAGAUACCAGCUGGCUGCAACUGUUUAUUAAAAACACAGCACUGUGCAAACACGAAAGUGGACGUAUACGGUGUGACGCCUGCCCGGUGCCGGAAGGUUAAUUGAUGGGGUCAGCGCAAGCGAAGCUCCUGAUCGAAGCCCCGGUAAACGGCGGCCGUAACUAUAACGGUCCUAAGGUAGCGAAAUUCCUUGUCGGGUAAGUUCCGACCUGCACGAAUGGCGUAAUGAUGGCCAGGCUGUCUCCACCCGAGACUCAGUGAAAUUGAACUCGCUGUGAAGAUGCAGUGUACCCGCGGCAAGACGGAAAGACCCCGUGAACCUUUACUAUAGCUUGACACUGAACAUUGAGCCUUGAUGUGUAG
rnacentral:rRNA from 1 species